AUCGAAAUGAAUCUGGCAAGCAAGAAGGGAAUCGUCGGCUUUAAUGGAUUCCCUCUUCGGCCUCGAACGAGUUAAUCCGUCGAAAUGAAGGAGAGGCAAAGGAGGAGGAGGGCGUGGAAAGGAGGAAGAGAGAAGAAUCGAACCCGAUGACGUGGAGCCGUGACGAAAAUCUCCUGCGAGGGACCCCUUUUUAAACACGCUCGUUUAUUACGAACGAAUAUUUUUAUCGAAUACGAUAUCUACGUUUCAAAGGUAUGCUUUUGAAGAGGGGAGAGAGAGAGAGAGAGAGAGAGAAAAGAAAAAAACGAAGGAAGGAAUUAAAUUAACUCGAUAGAGGAAAUAAGAUACGAGUAAAAUGCAGGCGCGUGAAUACCAGAAAGAAAACCAGAUACCAGUUGGAGGAUUUAAACCGGGCAUAAAACUUUCAAGUUAUAAUAUUCACGCAGAUUAUUUACCUAUCCUCUCUACGAUAUUUCAUAUAUAUUUUUCCUUUCCUCUAUCUCUCUCUCUCUUUCACAUAAUUGCUCGCAAUAUUUAUUCCGACGUUAACACAAUUCCCUCGGAUCAUUUCCUCCAU